UUUUCAGUUGAAGCUUGGUUAGGUUAACAAACAAGGGUCAUUUCUAAGGCCAUUGAAAACGAAAUUGCCGAUGCAAAAGAGACAUUCACUGUACAUUAUUCACACAUCUCAACUUUGUUCUAUUUGUUUCUCAUUUGAAACCUUCACAACUCUUAUUUCACAACUCAAUUUUUGUUUUUCACUAUUUUUCUUCCAAGCAAGCAUUCAUUUUUAUUUUAUCUAUAUUAUAUUUUUUUUCUCUUUUCUUUCACAUCAUAUUUACAAAACAAAUGUUUUUCUUUUCUAAUUUUUAUUUUCAAUGCUUGCUCGGUUUUUCAAGAGUUGUG
rnacentral:lncRNA from 1 species